AAAAACAGUAUUUGCUUUCCAAUUGCCUAACAAUGUGGCCAACUCAAUACGAAUUCAAAGCUAUAUUUUGCAAAAUGUUCUGUAUACAAAUGCCACACAGAAGGCAUGCGGAAAAAGCGUCAAAAACUAUACAUUUCUAGGAGCUGCUAUGUAAAAUUUAGCUAGGUAUUUUUUUUGUACAAGCGUUGAUCGUCAAACAUUGAGUUUCUUUUUCCUAGCUCGCAGGCCAUUGAUUGAUUCUCAAUUGAAUUCCAUGCUUCUAAAAAGGAUCAGGCAUGUAGCUUUUUUCACUAGACACUUGAGUUUCUCCGUCAGAUUCAUCUUUAGUUCAACUAAAGCACCUCUUUCCCCACCUUAAAAGGAGGCACAGGAAGGAUGUUAAGAGAGUGAGCUCUUCAUCAUUCUUUCCUUUCAC
rnacentral:misc_RNA from 1 species